GUGGGGAAUAUUGGACAAUGGGCGCAAGCCUGAUCCAGCCAUGCCGCGUGAGUGAUGAAGGCCUUAGGGUUGUAAAGCUCUUUCACCGGUGAAGAUAAUGACGGUAACCGGAGAAGAAGCCCCGGCUAACUUCGUGCCAGCAGCCGCGGUAAUACGAAGGGGGCUAGCGUUGUUCGGAAUUACUGGGCGUAAAGCGCACGUAGGCUGAUAUUUAAGUCAGGGGUGAAAUCCCGGGGCUCAACCCCGGAACUGCCUUUGAUACUGGGUAUCUUGAGUAUGGAAGAGGUCAGUGGAAUUGCGAGUGUAGAGGUGAAAUUCGUAGAUAUUCGCAGGAACACCAGUGGCGAAGGCGGCUGACUGGUCCAUUACUGACGCUGAGGUGCGAAAGCGUGGGGAGCAAACAGGAUUAGAAACCCCUGUAGUCC
rnacentral:rRNA from 1 species